rnacentral:rRNA from 1 species
GAUGAACGCUGGCGGCGUGCCUAAUACGUGCAGGUCGAGCGAACAGACGAGGAGCUUGCUCCUCUGACGUUAGCGGCGGACGGGUGAGUAACACGUGGAUAACCUACCUAUAAGACUGGGAUAACUUCGGGAAACCGGAGCUAAUACCGGAUAAUAUAUUGAACCGCAUGGUUCAAUAGUGAAAGACGGUUUUGCUGUCACUUAUAGAUGGAUCCGCGCCGCAUUAGCUAGUUGGUAAGGUAACGGCUUACCAAGGCAACGAUGCGUAGCCGACCUGAGAGGGUGAUCGGCCACACUGGAACUGAGACACGGUCCAGACUCCUACGGGAGGCAGCAGUAGGGAAUCUUCCGCAAUGGGCGAAAGCCUGACGGAGCAACGCCGCGUGAGUGAUGAAGGUCUUCGGAUCGUAAAACUCUGUUAUUAGGGAAGAACAAAUGUGUAAGUAACUAUGCACGUCUUGACGGUACCUAAUCAGAAAGCCACGGCUAACUACGUG